GGAAGGAUCAUUACCGAGUUGAUUCGAGCUCCGGCUCGACUCUCCCACCCAAUGUGUACCUACCUCUGUUGCUUUGGCGGGCCGCGGUCCUCCGCACCGGCGCCCUUCGGGGGGCUGGCCAGCGCCCGCCAGAGGACCAUAAAACUCCAGUCAGUGAACUUUGCAGUCUGAGAAACAAGUUAAUAAACUAAAACUUUCAACAACGGAUCUCUUGGUUCUGGCAUCGAUGAAGAACGCAGCGAAAUGCGAUAAGUAAUGUGAAUUGCAGAAUUCAGUGAAUCAUCGAAUCUUUGAACGCACAUUGCGCCCCUUGGUAUUCCGAGGGGCAUGCCUGUUCGAGCGUCAUUUCAACCCUCAAGCUCUGCUUGGUAUUGGGCUCCGUCCUCCACGGACGCGCCUUAAAGACCUCGGCGGUGGCGUCUUGCCUCAAGCGUAGUAGAAAACACCUCGCUUUGGAGCGCACGGCGUCGCCCGCCGGACGAACCUUUGAAUUAUUUCUCAAGGUUGACCUCGGAU
rnacentral:rRNA from 2 species